rnacentral:rRNA from 1 species
AGCGACUAGCGUGAAUCAUCGAAUCUUUGAACGCACUUUGCACUGUCUGGAACCCUGGACAGUAUACCUGUUUGAGUAUUGUUUCAAAUUCGCAAACUGAUUUGCAUAAUCGCAAUGAGGUUUGUGGUGCUGAGGAUUAAUGGUUACCCUAUUUUUCUUUAAACACAAUUAUUCGAUCUAUUGGAGUAGUCCUUACGGUACCUCUCUUAGUUUCGACAUCAUUGAAAAAUCGACCUGCCAUGGGGAGAUUUGAUUUACAAUCUCAAAUCAGGUAAGAUUACCCGCUGAACUUAAGCAUAUCAAUAAGCGGAGG